UCAGGAAGGGCCAUGGUUUGGUGGUAGAACAUCUGCUUUGCAUGCAGAAUGUUCCAAGUUCAACCCCUGAUUUCUCAA